rnacentral:rRNA from 1 species
AUUGAACGCUGGCGGCAGGCCUAACACAUGCAAGUCGAGCGGCAGCGGGAAAGUAGCCUGCUACUUUUGCCGGCGAGCGGCGGACGGGUGAGUAAUGCCUGGGAAAUUGCCCAGGCGAGGGGGAUAACAGUUGGAAACGACUGCUAAUACCGCAUACGCCCUACGGGGGAAAGCAGGGGACCUUCUGGCCUUGCGCGAUUGGAUAUGCCCGGGUGGGAUUAGCUAGUUGGUGAGGGAAUGGCUCACCAAGGCGACGAUCCCUAGCUGGUCUGGGAGGAUUAUCAGCCACACUGGGACUGAGACACGGUCCAGACUCCUACGGGAGGCAGCAGUGGGGAAUAUUGCACAAUGGGGGAAACCCUGAUGCAGCCAUGCCGCGUGUGUGAAGAAGGCCUUCGGGUUGUAAAGCACUUUCAGCGAGGAGGAAAGGUCAGUAGCUAAUACCUGCGGACUGUGACGUUACUCGCAGAAGAAGCACCGGCUAACUCCGUGCCAGCCGCCGCAGUAACAC